rnacentral:lncRNA from 1 species
UAGUUCUAGAGCUUUUAGGUGUGCUGUCAGACUGCAAGUGUAAGCUCUCUCUAGUUUCUUUUUGGAGGCACUCAGAGCUAUGAGUUUUCCUCUUAGGACUGCCUUCGUUGUGUCCCAUAAGUUUGGGUGUGUUGAGUUAUCCACGACUGGCUGAGGUCGGAGUGCUGGGUUCUGAUGAUGGUGGAAUUCUCUUCCCUCUACACAUUAAAAAGAAUCUGCUGUGUUCCCUUGGCAUUUCCACUGGUCUGUGACAUGUUUCUCUCCUGUCAAGGCUGAGCAUGCACAAGCUAUUGCUAUCAGGUGACCUGAACUGAAUCUCCUGCCUCCUUUCUUAGAAAGAAUCUGCAGCUGUGGGACAAAAGUGGGAUUCCUGGAACUCACUCACUCUUGCUUCUUCAGUCCUCACCCAUCUGUCCCUUAUUCCACUUCCAACAUUGUUCCCAGUACCUGUCAUUGUCAAGGAUUCCCCUCAGAAAACAUACAGAAGGAAGCAGCUGAGCAUUAUCAGCAGGACAGAGGGGUUGGAUGUGCAUGCUCUGGAUGAAGGUCGGCCCACAUCUGCAGUGGUUGACAAGGCUAAAAUGAAAACACAAGUUGAGUCUUUGACUAGGACUUAAAUCUUAGCAAAUAUCACCUCAACUUCUGGGUCCUCAGGAAAUUCCUUAACACACAGGGUUACAACCAUUUUGUUGUGUAACAGCAAUUUGUGUGGGUCCUGAGUUGGAAGGGACAGGGAAUGUCCCUGACCUCAAAAUGCUCGUGUAGCUAUGGUAAGGGAGCAGGGUCAUGAUGGGACCUCAUCUCUCCUGCUGACAGAAGAGGAACUGACCUGUGAAGAACAUGAAGGGUGAGAAGAAGGCAACAGCAAUUCUAGACUGUGAAGACAGGAAGUAGAAGGAUGCUCAGACUGAGGAAAGACACAAGGACAGUGACCAGUGGGAAUGUAGUAAGUGAGAUAGGAGAGGACAAGGAGGGAAAUGAGGGAUGGAAAGAGUGACUUAACCCAAAGAAGGACUCAUGAAGAAUAGAACACACACAGAUAUAUGCACACAGAGAGACAUAUAUGGAAACAUGUGGUCAUGGACACGUGAACACACACGGACACAGGCACACUACACAUCUGCAGAAAGCUUUGUCCCCCUUUUGCCAGUUACCUGUAGGCUCCUGGUUUUCCUUACAGUGCAAAUUAUACUCCUUAAACUUGUUCUUGAAUUCACCCUGUGAUGUCCUGUUUAAGAAGUCAUUUAGAUUUUUGAUUUUCUCCAAUAUCUCUUCUGUCCAGUUGGUUCCAGAAUAGAUGUGAAGCCAUCUCUUGAUGUCACCAUGAAAUAUUUUGCUUCCAUUGAGGCAUACCUUCCAUGAUCCCAUGAAUCGUUCAUCUGCAUACCAGCCACACACAAUGGACUGCAGAGUGAGGGGCUCUGUGUCCAUUGGAAAGAUAUAAGUCUCUGGCAUUGAUUAAUUCAGUCUUCUUGCCCAUCUUCCCUUCCCAUCCCCUGACCUGGUUUUACCCUCCACAUUUUGCCCUUGCUGUUGGACCUCUUAGGUGGGACUAACAGUGGUUCAUUUUGUUUCUUCAUGAAACAAUGAAGGUCCCUAACCUGUUACAAAUCUUGCUCUUUCCUUCAAUGGACAUCUGACAUGUUCUUUUACUCAUUUUGUAGCAGUGAGGAUGGAACCUAGGGUCUCAUGCAUGCUAGGCAAGAACUCUACCACUGAGCUACAUCCCCAGCUCUAUGGAGUCAUUUGAAACUUACCUCUGAUUGUGUUAUUCUCCCCCCGCAUUUGAAGUAGCACAUCUUGGAAGUGAUAAACUUGACCUUGUAGACUGUGAAGCUGUUUUUCACAGAUCUCUGUGGCAUUGAGUCUGUUCUCAAAAUCACUAGUGACAUGACAUUUGUUAUUUCUGUUGAGAAUAAAAGGUACUGUUUUCACUUC